CGUUUGACCUCGGAUCAGGUAGGGAUACCCGCUGAACUUAAGCAUAUCAAUAAGCGGAGGAAAAGAAACCAACAGGGAUUGCCCUAGUAACGGCGAGUGAAGCGGCAACAGCUCAAAUUUGAAAUCUGGCUCUUUUAGAGUCCGAGUUGUAAUUUGCAGAGGGCGCUUUGGCUUUGGCAGCGGUCCAAGUUCCUUGGAACAGGACGUCACAGAGGGUGAGAAUCCCGUACGUGGUCGCUAGCUAUUGCCGUGUAAAGCCCCUUCGACGAGUCGAGUUGUUUGGGAAUGCAGCUCUAAAUGGGAGGUAAAUUUCUUCUAAAGCUAAAUAUUGGCCAGAGACCGAUAGCGCACAAGUAGAGUGAUCGAAAGAUGAAAAGCACUUUGGAAAGAGAGUCAAACAGCACGUGAAAUUGUUGAAAGGGAAGCGCUUGCAGCCAGACUUGCUUGCAGUUGCUCAUCCGGGCUUUUGCCCGGUGCACUCUUCUGCAGGCAGGCCAGCAUCAGUUUGGGCGGUGGGAUAAAGGUCUCUGACACGUUCCUUCCUUCGGGUUGGCCAUAUAGGGGAGACGUCAUACCACCAGCCUGGACUGAGGUCCGCGCAUCUGCUAGGAUGCUGGCGUAAUGGCUGUAAGCGGCCCGUCUUGAAACACGGACCAAGGAGUCUAACAUCUAUGCGAGUGUUUGGGUGUCAAGCCCGAGCGCGUAAUGAAAGUGAACGGAGGUGGGAACCCGCAAGGGUGCACCAUCGACCGAUCCUGAAGUUUACGGAAGGAUUUGAGUAAGAGCAUGGCUGUUGGGACCCGAAAGAUGGUGAACUAUGCUUGAAUAGGGUGAAGCCAGAGGAAACUCUGGUGGAGGCUCGCAGCGGUUCUGACGUGCAAAUCGAUCGUCAAAUUUGGGCAUAGGGGCGAAAGACUAAUCGAACUAUCUAGUAGCUGGUUCCUGCCG
rnacentral:rRNA from 1 species